UAACUGCGAUAACUAAUGUGAACUGCAGAUAUUUUGAACAUUGAGACUUCGAAUGCACAUUGCGCCAUUGGAGUCACACCCUCUGGCACAUCUGGCUCAGGGUCGUCUUCGAAAAACGACGGCCAGUCGUUCCCGCGGCGGGCUCACUGCACUCUCGCAGUGUGCCCGCAUUUGCCGCCGGCGUAGACGCGCGAUCUGCGCGUGGGGAGGGCGGUCACCGCUCGAUAGACCAAGUGCCCCACGCGAGAACGCGCGGCGCUCGCAAUCGCGACCUGAGCUCAGGUGUGAGCACCCGCUGAACUUAA
rnacentral:misc_RNA from 1 species